rnacentral:rRNA from 1 species
UACGUAGGAGGCGAGCGUUGUCCGGAGUUACUGGGCGUAAAGGGUGCGCAGGCGGCGUCACGCGUGGCUAGAUGAAAUCUCCUGGCUUACCUGGGAGGGUGGUAGCCAGACGGUGGCGCUUGAGGGUCGGAGAGGGGCGUGGAAUUCCGGGUGGAGCGGUGAAAUGCGCAGAUAUCAGGAAGAACACCCGUGGCGAAGGCGGCUCUCUGGUACGUGACUGACGCUGAGGAGCGAAAGCGUGGGGAGCGAACAGG